rnacentral:misc_RNA from 1 species
UCCGAGUUGACCCCGGCAGUCUCCUAUGAGUCCCCGGCAUGAUCCGCUGGCAACAUAGGACGAGGGUUGCGCUCGUUGCGGGACUUAACCCAACAUCCCACGACACGAGCUGACGACAGCCAUGCACCACCUGCACACCAACCACAAGGGAAGCCCCAUCUCUGGGGAUAUCUGGCGCAUGUCAAGCCCAGGUAAGGUUCUUCGCGUUGCAUCGAAUUAAUCCACAUGCUCCGCCGCUUGUGCGGGCCCCCGUCAAUUCCUUUGAGUUUUAGCCUUGCGGCCGUACUCCCCAGGCGGGGCACUUAAUGCGUUAGCUACGGCACAGAUCCCGUUGGUUGAGACCCACACCUAGUGCCCAACGUUUACGGCGUGGACUAC